rnacentral:sRNA from 12 species
UCGCGAAAGGGGCAGUAUUACCCCUUUCGCGUAUCAUGUAGCAUGUAGCA